rnacentral:lncRNA from 1 species
UGCUAUUGAUGAAAUGGGAUUCGUUUAUGUUUAUAAACUGAAACUCGUUUUCCUUGAUAGUUAAAAAUCUUCCAUGCUUGUUUUAUCUUAUACGGCCUGUAUACACCAUGUUAAAAUAAGAUUUUACCAUGUGUUAUUAUUAACACCCUUAAAUAAACAUUUACUUUUAUAAAAAAAUACGAUGCUUUAUUGAUUAUAGCUAGUCUGAGGAAUGAUCAACCACACUGGGACUGAGACACGGCCCAGACUCCUACAGGAGGCAGCAGCGGGGAAUUUUUUGUAAAAGGCCGAAAGCCUGACGAAGCAA